rnacentral:rRNA from 1 species
GAUGAACGCUGGCGGCGUGCCUAAUACAUGCAAGUAGAACGCUGAAGGAAGGAGCUUGCUCUUUCCGGAUGAGUUGCGAACGGGUGAGUAACGCGUAGGUAACCUGCCUGGUAGCGGGGGAUAACUAUUGGAAACGAUAGCUAAUACCGCAUAACAGUAGAUGUUGCAUGAUAUCUACUUAAAAGGUGCAAUUGCACCACUACCAGAUGGACCUGCGUUGUAUUAGCUAGUUGGUGAGGUAACGGCUCACCAAGGCGACGAUACAUAGCCGACCUGAGAGGGUGAUCGGCCACACUGGGAAUGAGACACGGCCCAGACUCCUACGGGAGGCAGCAGUAGGGAAUCUUCGGCAAGGGACGGAAGUCUGACCGAGCAACGCCGCGGGAGUGAAGAAGGGUUUCGAAUCGUAAAGCUCUGUUGUAAGAGAAGAACGAGUGUGAGAGUGGAAAGUUCACACUGUGACGGUAUCUUACCAGAAAGGGACGGCUAACUACGUG